AGUGAACGCUGGCGGUAGGCCUAACACAUGCAAGUCGAACGGCAGCACAGUAAGAGCUUGCUCUUACGGGUGGCGAGUGGCGGACGGGUGAGGAAUACAUCGGCAUCUACUUUUUCGUGGGGGAUAACGUAGGGAAACUUACGCUAAUACCGCAUACGACCUACGGGUGAAAGCAGGGGAUCUUCGGACCUUGCGCGAUUGAAUGAGCCGAUGUCGGAUUAGCUAGUUGGCGGGGUAAAGGCCCACCAAGGCGACGAUCCGUAGCUGGUCUGAGAGGAUGAUCAGCCACACUGGAACUGAGACACGGUCCAGACUCCUACGGGAGGCAGCAGUAGGGAAUAUUGGACAAUGGGCGAAAGCCUGAUCCAGCCAUACCGCGUGGGUGAAGAAGGCCUUCGGGUUGUAAAGCCCUUUUGUUGGGAAAGAAAAGCAGCAGGUUAAUACCCCGCUGUUCUGACGGUACCCAAAGAAUAAGCACCGGCUAACUUCGUG
rnacentral:rRNA from 1 species